GCCAGGUGUGGUGGCGCGUGCCUAUAAUCCCAGCUAUUUGGGAGGCUGAGGCAGGAGGAUCGCUUGAACCCAGGAGGUGGAGGUUGCAGUGAGCCGAGAUCAUGCCACUGCACUCCAGCCUGGGUGACAGAGUGAGACUCUGUCUCAA
rnacentral:SRP_RNA from 1 species